GGGGAUGACAGGCUUCGACGGGCGAGGCUGAUCCCGGACGGCAUGCCGAGAGGUACCGACCUCGUAAACUCAGUACAAACCUUAAGUGCCAAAAACACUUCAUAUGCAGCUCUUCCUCUCGCCGCCUAGCGUCGAAGGAAAGCUCAUCUGACACCUAGUGUGUCACGUCUGCCUGCUCCGCUCUCUUACCGGUAGCAGAACGGGCGUCACAAAGUAAGAGUGCCGCUUCUCAUUCCGCGGGUGAAGCGAAAGAGGGCUUUCGGGCUUGAGCGGAUCGCCUGCCUUCAAUUUUGUCCGUCUGGUGACGGCAGGCAAAACCACAGACGGUCUACGCAUGUAGAAGUUCGAGGGUUGAAUCGUUCGGACGCGGGUUCAAUUCCCGCCAUCUCCAC
rnacentral:tmRNA from 1 species